rnacentral:rRNA from 1 species
CCACCACCAAAGCAUUCUCUGGUGUUGAAGGCCCUGCAAAGCAGCAUCGCGGUGGCGGAGCGUCGUUUGCGACGCCCAACGCACAAAACAAGCGGUGAGUGCUUUGGGGUGGGGUGACUGCGUACCUUUUGUAUAAUGGGUCAGCGACUUAUAUUCUGUAGCAAGGUUAACCGCAUAGGGGAGCCGUAGGGAAACCGAGUCUUAACCGGGCGUUAAGUUGCAGGGUAUAGACCCGAAACCCGGUGAUCUAGCCAUGGGCAGGUUGAAGGUUGGGUAACACUAACUGGAGGACCGAACCGACUAAUGUUGAAAAAUUAGCGGAUGACCUGUGGCUGGGGGUGAAAGGCCAAUCAAACCGGGAGAUAGCUGGUUCUCCCCGAAAGCUAUUUAGGUAGCGCCUCGUGAAUUCAUCUCCGGGGGUAGAGCACUGUUUCGGCUAGGGGGCCAUCCCGGCUUACCAACCCGAUGCAAACUGCGAAUACCGGAGAAUGUUAUCACGGGAGACACACGGCGGGUGCUAACGUCCGUCGUGAAGAGGGAAACAACCCAGACCGCCAGCUAAGGUCCCAAAGUCAUGGUUAAGUGGGAAACGAUGUGGGAAGGCCCAGACAGCCAGGAUGUUGGCUUAGAAGCAGCCAUCAUUUAAAGAAAGCGUAAUAGCUCACUGGUCGAGUCGGCCUGCGCGGAAGAUGUAACGGGGCUAAACCAUGCACCGAAGCUGCGGCAGCGACGCUGAUGCGUUGUUGGGUAGGGGAGCGUUCUGUAAGCCUGUGAAGGUGUGUCGUGAGGCAUGCUGGAGGUAUCAGAAGUGCGAAUGCUGACAUAAGUAACGAUAAAGCGGGUGAAAAGCCCGCUCGCCGGAAGACCAAGGGUUCCUGUCCAACGUUAAUCGGGGCAGGGUGAGUCGACCCCUAAGGCGAGGCCGAAAGGCGUAGUCGAUGGGAAACGGGUUAAUAUUCCCGUACUUGGUGUUACUGCGAAGGGGGGACGGAGAAGGCUAUGUUGGCCGGGCGACGGUUGUCCCGGUUUAAGCGUGUAGGUGUGUGUUCCAGGUAAAUCCGGUUCACUUUAACACUGAGGCGUGACGACGAGGCACUACGGUGCUGAAGCAACAAAUGCCCUGCUUCCAGGAAAAGCCUCUAAGCAUCAGGUAACAUCAAAUCGUACCCCAAACCGACACAGGUGGUCAGGUAGAGAAUACCAAGGCGCUUGAGAGAACUCGGGUGAAGGAACUAGGCAAAAUGGUGCCGUAACUUCGGGAGAAGGCACGCUGACACGUAGGUGAAGUGAUUUACUCAUGGAGCUGAAGUCAGUCGAAGAUACCAGCUGGCUGCAACUGUUUAUUAAAAACACAGCACUGUGCAAACACGAAAGUGGACGUAUACGGUGUGACGCCUGCCCGGUGCCGGAAGGUUAAUUGAUGGGGUCAGCGCAAGCGAAGCUCCUGAUCGAAGCCCCGGUAAACGGCGGCCGUAACUAUAACGGUCCUAAGGUAGCGAAAUUCCUUGUCGGGUAAGUUCCGACCUGCACGAAUGGCGUAAUGAUGGCCAGGCUGUCUCCACCCGAGACUCAGUGAAAUUGAACUCGCUGUGAAGAUGCAGUGUACCCGCGGCAAGACGGAAAGACCCCGUGAACCUUUACUAUAGCUUGACACUGAACAUUGAGCCUUGAUGUGUAGGAUAGGUGGGAGGCUUUGAAGUGUGGACGCCAGUCUGCAUGGAGCCGACCUUGAAAUACCACCCUUUAAUGUUUGAUGUUCUAACGUGGACCCGUUACCCGGGUUGCGGACAGUGUCUGGUGGGUAGUUUGACUGGGGCGGUCUCCUCCUAAAGAGUAACGGAGGAGCACGAAGGUUGGCUAAUCCUGGUCGGACAUCAGGAGGUUAGUGCAAUGGCAUAAGCCAGCUUGACUGCGAGCGUGACGGCGCGAGCAGGUGCGAAAGCAGGUCAUAGUGAUCCGGUGGUUCUGAAUGGAAGGGCCAUCGCUCAACGGAUAAAAGGUACUCCGGGGAUAACAGGCUGAUACCGCCCAAGAGUUCAUAUCGACGGCGGUGUUUGGCACCUCGAUGUCGGCUCAUCACAUCCUGGGGCUGAAGUAGGUCCCAAGGGUAUGGCUGUUCGCCAUUUAAAGUGGUACGCGAGCUGGGUUUAGAACGUCGUGAGACAGUUCGGUCCCUAUCUGCCGUGGGCGCUGGAGAACUGAGGGGGGCUGCUCCUAGUACGAGAGGACCGGAGUGGACGCAUCACUGGUGUUCGGGUUGUCAUGCCAAUGGCACUGCCCGGUAGCUAAAUGCGGAAGAGAUAAGUGCUGAAAGCAUCUAAGCACGAAACUUGCCCCGA